AUUUUGGAGACAUUUUUUAUAGGGUUUAUCUCAAUCUAACAAUGAGUGGCAGCAUCACAGACCCUCAACACACUAUACAGCAAUGGGUGAGUAAUAUGGAAGCAUAUGGGUAGCAAAAUACAUGACACAUAUUCUAAAAAGUCAUUUGGACCAUACCUUUGUAUUUAUUGUGCUUCUUUCUUCAGCUUCAGCAAACACUAGGAAAAUGCAACAUGGAUGUUUGGAAUCUUGCGAUAAAAGGAGGUCCUAAGUAAGUGUCCCAACAUUGAAUACAUGGAACACGCAAAUGCAGAUGAAAUAGAUGCUGUAUUGUUUCUCAAAUAAAAUCUUUUUCAGGUACAUCACUACUUUUCAUGUUCAGGCUAAGGCACCAGGAAAUGUCACUGCAACAGAGAGGCUGAUUUUUGAACUUUUGACAAAAGGAUACACCAGUGCUACCAUCAGUAUCAUUGUUCCGUCCGGUGAAGUCAACAUCAGCCAUAUAGAUCCAGGCCUUUGUCCAGAGGAAACCAUGCUCACAGCGUAUGGUAUAUACAUGUGGCCCGAAAUGACAGCUCAGAGUGAAUACAGCAUGGGGUGUGUAAGAGGGAAUGAAAUUGCUACAAGGUUUUGUAAGUUAAACAGGGCAACUGACAGAGCAGUGUGGGAUCAUCCAGACAUGAGCAAGUGUAUUCCGACAGUUUCAGAUUUUGAUGGUUUGGAAAAUAUCAAAGUUACAGCUGACAACUCAGCAGACAUUGUGGACAUGAUUGAGGAUCUUUUAAAGGAACAAAGCGAUCUGAAUGACGCUCAGAUGGACAUUGUGCUUGAAAAACUGUCUAAGGUCACUGAGGUUGGAACCUUGACCACAGACCUGUCCUGCGACAUUACUAAAAUUGUUUCAGAUAUCUGUUAUAUCAAAACUAGUCCCACCCAAAUCAACAAGUAA
rnacentral:lncRNA from 12 species